rnacentral:rRNA from 1 species
UACGAAGGGUGCAAGCGUUACUCGGAAUUACUGGGCGUAAAGCGUGCGUAGGUGGUUUGUUAAGUCUGUUGUGAAAGCCCCGGGCUCAACCUGGGAAUGGCAAUGGAUACUGGCAGGCUAGAGUGCGGUAGAGGGUAGUGGAAUUCCCGGUGUAGCGGUGAAAUGCGUAGAUAUCGUUUGGAACGCCAAUGGUGAAAACAACUUGCUGGGGGUGUGCUGACGCUGAGACACGAAAGCCAGGGGAGCAAACGGG